rnacentral:rRNA from 1 species
UACGUAGGGACCAAGCGUUGUUCGGAUUUACUGGGCGUAAAGGGGCGCGAGUAGGCGGCAAUUCAAGUCAGCUGUGAAAUCUCCGGGCUUAACUCGGAACGGUCAGCUGAUACUGCUUUGCUAGAGUGCAGAAGGGGCAAUCGGAAUUCCUGGUGUAGCGGUGAAAUGCGUAGAUAUCAGGAGGAACACCGGCGGUGUAGACGGCUAUCUGGACAGUAACUGACGCUGAGACACGAAAAGCGUGGGGAGCAAACAGG